GGGGAUUUAGCUCAGUGGUAGAGCACUUGCCUAGUAAGCGCAAGGCCCUGGGUUCAGUCCUCA
rnacentral:tRNA from 1 species